rnacentral:rRNA from 1 species
UGGGGAAUCUUGCGCAAUGGACGAAAGUCUGACGCAGCCACGCCGCGUGAGUGAAGAAGGCCUUCGGGUUGUAAAGCUCUGUCGGGCGGGACGAAAACCCAUUCGGUUAACAGCCGAGUGGACUGACGGUACCGCCAAAGGAAGCACCGGCUAACUUCGUG